AGUAGGGUCAGCUAAUAAAGCUAUCGGGCCCAUACCCCGAAAAUGGCGGUUCAACUCCACCCCCUACUA
rnacentral:tRNA from 1 species